UCUCAUUACAGAUGGUUGUGAGCCACCAUGUAGUUGCUGGGAAUUGAACUCAGGACCUCUGGAAGAGCAGGCAGUGCUCUUAACCCUGAGCCAUCUCUCCAGUCCAGCAGAGAUCCUUUUCUUGUAUGCGCACACAGCUUGUGCAUGUCGGGGCCAGAGCUCAAAGUCGGGUGUCAUCUUCCAUUGCUCAACACAUUCUGAGGCAGGGUUUCUUACUGAAUGCACCUGGAAGCUUACUGAUUUGCCUAGAUCCACGAGCCCCAAGGAUCCUUUCUUCUUUGCAGGCACACAGCCCUCCGCCUGGCUUUUCACAUGAGUUCUGGGGACCAAAUCCAGGUCUUUAUGCUGGUGCAGCAAGCAUGUUACCAACUGAGCCAUCUCCCCAUCUGAGAGAGCCACGCAUGUGUGCGUGUGUGUGCGUGAGUGCAGACAUUGUGUGUCUGUACAGUCAGGUACUCUAGGUGUUGGUGGUCACCUUCCACCUUGUUCCAAACAGUAACCUGUUUGCUGUUGCUGAUGCCAUGUGAGCUGGCCUGCACAUUUCCCAGAAUUCUCCUGACUCUCCUUUCAUCUCUCCACAGGAGCACCUUGAUUACCAGACAUGUGCUGUGUUCAACUUUUACAUGAGUCCCAGGGAUUCGAACUCAGGUCCUCACACUUGUGUGCAUUGUGCUCAACAAGGACAUCAUUUCUGUGGGAACUUGACUUUCUACCAUUGGUUUUCUGACUGUGGUUAAAUGAUUGACUUGCAGUUGUGUACCUGGCUGCCGUGUGUGCUAGUGCCCACAGAGACCAGAAGAGGGCACCAGAUCCCCUGAAGAUGGAGUUAGAGGUGAUUAUGAGCCACCUGAUUGAGUGAUGGGCCCUGAUCGUCUGACCAUCUCUCCAGCCUGUUUUGGAACUUUUAAAAACAUAUUUGAAGGAUACUGGUGGCCUCACCUUUCUUCAGACCCUUUGCUAUAUAUUUGCUUUCUUACUUUGCUGACAUGGGGUGUAGCUGUGUAGCCCAGGAUGGCCUGGUCUUCCCUGUUCAGCCCUCCCGGACUGUCCUCCAACUUUCAAUUCCAUGUGCAAGCUUCAAAUAUGGAAUCAUAGAACCGACACUUUGCUGAUGUCCUAGGAAUGAUUAAAAUGAAACUUACGAGGUCACCAGCACCUUCCACAGCCACGUGAGAGAACUGGACCUGGGCAUGCUGGAGCCUCCGGUGCUGCAUCACCUGACACUGGGCCCCAUGACUAGAGUGAUGCUUAGCACCAAGCUAGGCAGACAGGCACAACGACCCAAUCAUCUCCAGCUGUCAACCGCAGGCCCAAGACCCCUGUGGCUGAGGCCACGGCCCUUAGCAGUCCCUGGUGGGUGGGUGACAACGCUGUAGACAAUGGCCCGCCACUCUGAGAUUCUCUGGAGAAGCAGAAGCCUGAAAGCUGGGGUUUGUGCCCCCCUCAUAGUUCCUGUACUGAAGGUCCGACUUUCACAGCAGUGGACAGGUGAGCCCCAGGAGGUGACUGGUCACGAGGUAGAACCCUCAUGGAAGACCUCAGGCCCUUUAAUCCUGCUCCCAUGAGUCAGGCACGGCAUGGAGACAUCCCUGAUGACAAUGGUGUGCGUGUAGGGCUUCGCAAAGAUACAGAACUGCCGGGAACCUGACAACCAGGUGCAUAAGCACCUGGUUAAUCUGUUGUGCGCAACCACAGUCUGGGAAGAGCCCAACCCUCCUGGUAUCACAGCACUGUGAGGAGUUGUAGCGUCACCUCAGAGGCGAGCGGAUGGUAUUUCUGACUUGGAACAAGUUUACCACGAUGGACUAUCUUAAUAGUUCUAUGAGAAGCAUCUGCAGUAAGAAGGGUCCUCAAAAAGUUAACCCAGGGAACACUGACCCAGGAUUUCUAGCAGACUCUGAUGUGGAUUCCAGCAGAUGUUCGUGAACUCGUAUUCCGGGCAGCCUUCCUCAAAAUAACCAAAAGCAGAGAGAGUGUGCAAGGAAUUAAUUCGCCAGCUGCUUUGGUGGGCAGAGCCCCAGGGAAGGCACAGUGGCGCCACCUCAAGUCCAAGGUAGCAGGGACAGACUGUCUGAACCAUAUAUUCACUGGGUCUGGUAUUU